AACGCACGAGACCUGCGGACCUGCGGAAGGAUCAUUACAUGGCGGAGGAGGUGGGCACCUAGUAAAAACAAAACCCUAGGUGUGUUGCCUACCACGCUUUCUACCCUUGUCUAUUUGCACCUUUUGUCGUUCCCUCGGUGGGUCUUGAACCUGCCGGCGGCAACUUUCAAAAACCUUUUGUAGUUAGUAUCUAAUUCUUCUGAUCAAAUAUUCAAUCGUUACAACUUUUAGCAACGGAUC
rnacentral:misc_RNA from 1 species